rnacentral:misc_RNA from 1 species
UUCAGUCGUAACAGGUUUCCGUAGGCGGAAGGAUCAUUAACACGUUAAAACAACCCGGUGAACCUUCAGCGUAUUCUUGCAGGACACAGCAAUCCCGAGUAAAUCAGGCGCUAAAGAAUUACAGAUUUUGAGUUUCGGAAGUUCUGUGUGUACGUGGACGCUGCAAGAGCGCUAGAUAAAGCACCCUGGUGCCCUAGAGCACUCUGUCUGAAAGCGGCAGGGAUCAAUGUUCAGGGUGGCGCAACGAUCGCUGUAGGUCCACACGACCGGACUUGGCGAAAGCUGCCUCCGUCAUAAAGCGAACAACUGUUAACAAUGGAUAUCUUGGUUCUC